AACACGCCAGUGGUUCAACACCAUUGACGUUGUACUGGAUGCAGACCAGGCAUGUCUAGUCGGAGGACGCUGGAUUCGACAUCACCGACAGCGACAUUUGAAGCCAUGACGCCGAGCAGCAAUGAUCAGCAAGAGGACAUUCCUGAACCUACAGACCCAGAGAAAGCUGCAUGCWCUAAUGGUGAAGCCACAACCUCAGAGCCCAGCACCCACAGACACCCAGAUUCCAUUCUCGGGAAGAGGAAACACUCCGAGCACAACCAGCGAAUACCUGAACUUCAUGAGGGAGACCGAGGCCUCAUACCUGGAGACACUUGAGGCCCAGCGUCAGUAGCAGGAUCAGCACAUCAAUCAACUGUGUGAAGAUGAGUCAGAAGCCAGAGAGCAGGCGUUCUUAAUGUUUUGUAUGCUCAGUGUAUACUUGUUGGGGUGGGAUUGGUAUGGGGUGUGGGUCCGUGGUUGGCUUUUGUCCAUUCGUUUGGAUUCCUGACGUCUAACUCAUUGUUAGAAAAACGUUUGGUUCAAAUAUGAUUUUAGGUACUAUAUUUAUUCAAUAUUAUAUGAAUCCUAUAAAUAAAAAGGGCCAAUUUGGAUGCAAUCAAUCAGCUUACAUUUCCAGAGAUCAAAUUAUAUUUCAACAAAGUAUUGCUGCAGGAAUGCUAAUCCUAUCUGUUUCUAACAGCAGAAACAAUUUCAGAACAAUCUGAGAUGGUGGGUGUCGAAAUCCACUUUCUUGUGC